rnacentral:tRNA from 1 species
GGAUUGUGGCUCAGCGGUAGAGUGCUUACCUCACACAUGGGGGGCCCUGGGAUCGAUCCUCAGCACCA